UUCAUCAGUUACAUGUGCACGCUGGUCCACUAUGACUUCAUCAGACUCUUUUUCAUUUCUUCCCGGCUCACCAGCCGGCGGAGCCUCAGGCGAGGGCCCGAAGAGCGUGCCGAACCAGCCCCAACAGAGGUUCGAGACGAGGGGAAGAGCAGAGCGACAGACAUCGUCCCCACCUUUGCCCCUCUCUCGAAGCGAGGCCUGGGCUUGGCUUCCCAUCUCUGCAUCUCCGCAUUCCGACUUGCCAAGGCCGACUCCAUGUCCGUGGUCGACCCGCUCUUACAUCUCGGACACUUCGAGAAACCCAUUUUAGAAUUCUUCUGUACCCUAAAGAUAUCAAGUCCAUAAGUAAAGAUUUUCUCAAACUGGCAAGUCUGAGAUUGUGGAUGUAGCUGCUAGCUUGACCUGCUCUCUUUUGCUGCUUCUUUCUCGGUAUCUGUCUCACUGGGUAUGGUUCCCUGCAUAAUGACGCUUCUUCCAGCAUUGGAUUUACAGGUUCUUAUUGGGUCCGUAUGCCCAUACACAUCUUCGAGAGACUUCCCUGUUUUACGCAUCUACCAAACACAAUAGACAUGUUACAACUGCAACACGUUGAUAUAAAACAUAUCCGAAACCUCAUUGAGCAGCGUGAGCUGUUUGAUGCCCAAGGAUUGCACGGCAAUGAUGGUGUCAAGGGCAAGAUUGAACCGCCAGUAGACCAGGGAUGACCAAAAGGUAGCUGUGAAGAAAAUAAAAGGAGGAGAGGGGAGUUUUGACGUUGAGGUUAGAUUAAGGGAUUUGCAGGAAGAAGAGGAAGAAGAAGGGAAAGUGAGAGAUGAGAGAGAGAGAUACGGGACCUCUACAGAAAUGAAAAGAGAGUCUGAUGAAAUUAGAGUUGCGCCCAGCAUGCAAACGUGGUAACUGAAGAAUGGACUGCUAUGCAGCACUACUCAAGCACCCAAUAUUUUCCCAGUAAAAUCAUCAAUUCUGAGAUAACCAUGAAAUUGCCUCAGGAAGAGGAAAAUCUCCCAUUUCACUUUUGAUGCUACAGAAGACAGGGCAAGGAACCUCCAGACUGUUGCCAUACCUUCUGAGGAAGCCUCUGGUGUUCCCUUUGGCUCCCUAAGUGAUGAUGUACCUUUAUCUGGACAAAGCAAAGGCGAUUUCAUGAAUCACCCAAGUCCUUGUUUUACAGUUUGGUAAUGGUAAUAAUGAAGGAUUGGCACACAAUGCGCAAGACAAGGCAAAAGGAUGUAGCGUGGGAGCCAAUUGGGGCAGCUUGCACAUUGCUGAGUGAAAGCUGCUCUUUUCUUGAGGUAGCCGGCUUAAAAGCCUCAUCGCACCCUUAUCAAUACGCCAAAAUAUCCACCAGCUUCUUCUGAUAUGUUGUAAGGUUUUGACAAUCAUAAUUUCCAGAAAGAGAGUUUUAUGCAGAGGAUGCAAAGUGUAAGACAAUCUUUUGGAUCUUUAGGACCACGUGACUUUUCAUGAUGUUCAAACAAGGACAUGCCAGAUACUUGAAAUUUAGCAGACAAUUAAGCUGUGCAACCAGGGAUUGAGAAGUUUUUCAAACAAGUGUCCAAGGCCAAAGCUGGAGAAAGCUACAAGAACUUAACUCUGGCCCCUUUGUUUAUGCUAUGCUGGGUAUGUUGGACAAAAACUACACAAACAAACCAGCUGAACAUCUCUGUAUA